rnacentral:rRNA from 1 species
GACGAACGCUGGCGGCGUGCCUAACACAUGCAAGUCGAACGGGGUUGCGGAAGCUUGCUUCUGCAGCUUAGUGGCGAACGGGUGAGUAACGCGUGAGGAACCUGCCUUUCAGUGGGGGACAACAGUUGGAAACGACUGCUAAUACCGCAUAAUGUGUUUUGGGGGCAUCCCCGAGACACCAAAAGCUUUAUGUGCUGAAAGAUGGCCUCGCGUCUGAUUAGAUAGUUGGUGAGGUAACGGCUCACCAAGUCUGCGAUCAGUAGCCGGUCUGAGAGGAUGAACGGCCACAUUGGGACUGAGAUACGGCCCAG